rnacentral:snRNA from 12 species
GACUUUGUACAGUGGCAGUAUCGUAGCCAAUGAGGUAUAUCUAAGGCGCGAUUAUUGCUAAUUGAAAGAAUUUUUACAUGUUUAUUGUCCAUCUGUAUUUCUUCCUUUAUGUGA